ACUCAAAGGAAUUGACGGGGACCCGCACAAGCAGCGGAGCAUGUGGUUUAAUUCGAAGCAACGCGAAGAACCUUACCAGGACUUGACAUCCCUCUGACAGGAACUUAACCGUUCCCUUCUUCGGACAGAGGAGACAGGUGGUGCAUGGUUGUCGUCAGCUCGUGUCGUGAGAUGUUGGGUUAAGUCCCGCAACGAGCGCAACCCUUGUCAUUAGUUGCCAUCAUUAAGUUGGGCACUCUAGUGAGACUGCCGUGGAUAACACGGAGGAAGGUGGGGAUGACGUCAAAUCAUCAUGCCCCUUAUGUUCUGGGCUACACACGUGCUACAAUGGCUGGUACAAAGAGACGCAAGACCGUGAGGUGGAGCAAAUCUCAAAAACCAGUCCCAGUUCGGAUUGUAGGCUGCAACUCGCCUACAUGAAGUUGGAGUUGCUAGUAAUCGCAGAUCAGAAUGCUGCGGUGAAUGCGUUCCCGGGUCUUGCACACACCGCCCGU
rnacentral:rRNA from 1 species